AACGAACGCUGGCGGCAUGCCUAACACAUGCAAGUCGAACGAGAUCUUCGGGUCUAGUGGCGCACGGGUGCGUAACGCGUGGGAAUCUGCCCUCUGGUUCGGAAUAACAGUUGGAAAGGUCAGCUAAUACCGGAUGAUGACUAAAGUCCAAAGAUUUAUCGCCAGAGGAUGGGCCCGCGUAGGAUUAGCUAGUCGGUGGGGGAAAGGCGCACCAAGGCGACGAACCUUAGCAGGUCUGAGAGGAUGAUCAGCCACACUGGGACUGAGACACGGCCCAGACUCCUACGGGAGGCAGCAGUGGGGAAUAUUGGACAAUGGGCGAAAGCCUGAUCCAGCAAUGCCGCGUGAGUGAUGAAGGCCUUAGGGUUGUAAAGCUCUUUUACCCGGGAUGAUAAUGACAGUACCGGGAGAAUAAGCUCCGGCUAACUCCGUGCCAGCCGCCGCUGUAA
rnacentral:rRNA from 1 species